ensembl:miRNA Mir100 microRNA 100
CCUGUUGCCACAAACCCGUAGAUCCGAACUUGUGCUGACCAUGCACACAAGCUUGUGUCUAUAGGUAUGUGUCUGUUAGG